rnacentral:rRNA from 1 species
UACAGAGGGUGCAAGCGUUGUUCGGAAUUACUGGCGUAAAGCGCGUGUAGGCGGCUUGGCAAGUCCUGUGUGAAAGCCCUGGGCUCAACCCAGGAAGUGCGCCCGAAACUGCAGAGCUUGAGUGCCGGAGAGGGUGGCGGAAUUCCCCAAGUAGAGGUGAAAUUCGUAGAUAUGGGGAGGAACACCGGUGGCGAAGGCGGCCGACCUGGACGGUAACUGACGCUGAGACGCGAAAGCGUGGGGAGCAAACAGG